AAGUUCCUUCAUUCCCUUCGGGGACAUUUAUUUUAAUUUAAAAAUUUUUAGUUUAAUUUUUGUAGUGUAGGGACACGAUUUGUUCGGGAAACUGAACUGACCAGAACUUCAGUCCGAUCCAUCUAGACCCGAACCGACUUUCUCAUCUGUAGCUUGAAGCUUGAACCCCAGACAGCCUCGGCGUGUCCAGCUGUGCCCGAAGGGGACCCCCUUUGAGACCAAGCGGCACCGGUGACCAUCCUCGCUCAAAUCUCCUGGUAACCUGGGGCAGAACUGACCUGGUUCACGUCGAAAUGGCAGCGUGAUGGAAUUGGAUGCACUCUCUUGGCCCAGUGGCCUCGAUGGACAGAAGCAAGCGGCUCGUGACCGUGAAAGGAGAACAAGUCGAGGAGGAGGAGAGGUCUCUGUCAGCCUUCUUUAAUAAUGAGAAAAGAUGGGCAUGCGAAGCCCGUUAAUCGAUUGACACAGAAGGGACAGAUAACCAGGACGAGUGCGGACAAAAGAGAAAGUUUCCAUGCAUCAAAGUUUGCUUGAGUUUCUCGUUACCCGUUCUGACAUCAUUACUCUGCUCUCGUUAUUCUCUUACAGGCUGUAUUUGUGAUGGGGGAACGGGAUUAUAGAGACACAAUGAAAAGCUAUUUUGUUUAGGAGCAGAAGGUGCUGUGUGUAAAAUUAUGCCUUUYAGAGGUAAUGGCUUUGAUAUGUCAGUAAAAUGGCUAUUUAAUGAUGCAGAGUGAGGCAUCAUCACUGUGACGUGGGGUCACCCAGCUCUCUGGAACAAACGGCAGAAUGUCCUGAUCUGAAAAGAAGGUGGUUGGCCGGUGCUGGGAAACCAUCUGCAAUGUCUGAGGGGCCAAGGAGGAUGCUGGGAGCCWGGCAGAGAGGACAUCCACUCCCGGAGCCUGCUGCAGUUAAAGACAUAAUUCAUUCACUCUCUGGGGCCAACAACCUAUCUUUUACCUUAAAUAUAGACUGCCACCAAGGACGUCUGACUCAUUUCUAAUCACAUACACCUGUGCUGCCUGCCAAAAAAGCCAUUUCAGAGCUCUGCAGAGGGUGACAACGGCAAUACGAGCUCAAGUAAAUUGAGGGGAGAGGGAAAAAAGGCUGACUGGAGCAGGGACAGUAGAGACCAUCACCUGCAAGCAAAUAGCAUAAGGUUGACACCGUUUAAAAAGAUAUAAACAGCUUUUAUUGUUUAGGCUCAUCUGUUAAAAUUUAAAAAAGGCCCCCAAGCUUUUGACUCCAGCAGGUUUUUUUCCUGAUAAGAGCUUCAUGGAAUAAGAUCAGCUAAUUUUCAUGCUCAUCAUACUCCUUGAUUCCAGAUUUUCAUUUGAAUAGGACACUAUUCUAACACUUCUUUGAAUAGGAACUCAUUUUCUCAACACCAAAAAUAAUUAGCUUUUAACCAACAAAACUGUCAUUUAUCUGAUAAGGUUUGUUGUAAUAUUAUGGGUAAGUGUACAUUUGGUUGUUGAGCUAAACCAGCAAAAUUUACUGCAUGUGAACAAGUGAGCUUUUGAAAAAAUAAACAAGGAAAAAUAUACAAUUUGUUGAGUAAUACCUAAAUAAGUGAAUAAAACUAGCAAUAGUAAUGUUUGUUAUGCUGCACGCCAAAGUUUUAAACAGAAGUAUUGCAUAAUCUGUUAGUGCUGAGUGAUGUGGAAAACGCAGCUAUUAAUGUGCCAAAUUUGCUAAAGUGACUGAUUAACAGUUUACUCCAUCUGUACAUGUGCAUCCACUUUCUGAAAGUUUCAGUGAAAUCCAUCUCCAUGUUCAUCAGAUAUUUUGCUAWAAGUGUUGAUUCCAACAGUUCAUACAACAGUUUUCAAUACAGACAUCACAGAAUUUGAGACCUUAAAGUAUAUGUUGAGGACGACUCUCGGUUCAAACAUGCUUAGUUUUAGCUCAAUAUUUAAAAAACUGACUGAGUUAGUGCCAUUCCAGGUUUUAACGGCAGAGGGUUAUGGCAGCCAUUUUGAAUCGAGUUAACUCCRAAACAUAAUCAGUUAUAGUUGUACAUCUACAGAUUAUUUUUGAGAGUUGCAUUCAGAUUUGUCUAGUGGCUCAUGAAAUAUUUUGCUAAUAAACACAUGCUGCUAAGAAACAGCCAAGAAAAAAAACAUUUCACUAUUUUGUUCCUU